rnacentral:ncRNA from 1 species
CGCUUGCUCAGUAACUGGGGCUACUUAAAAUAUUUGGAGGUGAAAAGAAAAUGGCUAUCUCAAAACAAGAAAAAGCUGAAAUCAUCAAAGCAUACGCAACACACGAA